GACGAACGCUGGCGGCGUGCCUAAUACAUGCAAGUCGAACGCAGUGGGGACGGGUGAGUAACACGUGGGUAACCUCCCAUCAGAGGGGAUAACACUUGGAAACAGGUGCUAAACCGAUACUGAUGGAUGGACCCGCGGUGCAUUAGCUAGUUGGUGAGGUAACGGAUCAACAAGGCCACGAUGCAUAGCUGACCUCAUAGGGGUAUGCGCCGCCCUGGGAAGGAGGACAGGCCCAGACUCCAUAGGGAGGCAACAGUAGGAAAUAUUCGGCAAUGUAAGAAAGUCUGACCGAACAACGCCGCGUGAGUGAAGAGGGUUGUCGGAUCGUAAAACUCUGUUGUUAGAUAAGCGGUAUCUAACCAGAAAGCCACGGCUAACUACGUGCCAUCAGCCGCAGUAAUAC
rnacentral:rRNA from 1 species